rnacentral:RNase_P_RNA from 1 species
UCAGCCGGCCGGACGGCCGCCGCCGCAACGCUCGAAAGGGUGCGGGGGAGGAAAGUCCGGGCUCCACGGAACCACGGUGCCGGAUAACGUCCGGCGGGGGCGACCCCAGGGACAGUGCCACAGAGACGAAACCGCCGGGGCUUGCCCCGGCAAGGGUGAAAAGGUGGGGUAAGAGCCCACCGCGCGACCGGCAACGGAAGCGGCUUGGUAAACCCCACCGGGAGCAAAACCGAAUAGGGACGACAGGGGGCAACCCCGGGCGUGGAUCCGCGCCGUCGUCCGGGUAGGUUGCCAGAGCGUCCGAGCAAUCGGCCGCCUAGAGGAAUGGCCGUCACGCGGGAGCAAUCCCGCCCCACAGAACCCGGCUUACAGGCCGACUGACAUA